CCUACGGGGGGCAGCAGUGGGGAAUAUUGGACAAUGGGCGAAAGCCUGAUCCAGCCAUGCCGCGUGAGUGAUGAAGGCCUUAGGGUUGUAAAGCUCUUUUGUCCGGGAAGAUAAUGACUGUACCGGAAGAAUAAGCCCCGGCUAACUUCGUGCCAGCAGCCGCGGUAAUACGAAGGGGGCUAGCGUUGCUCGGAAUCACUGGGCGUAAAGGGCGCGUAGGCGGACUCUUAAGUCGGGGGUGAAAGCCCAGGGCUCAACCCUGGAAUUGCCUUCGAUACUGAGAGUCUUGAGUUCGGAAGAGGUUGGUGGAACUGCGAGUGUAGAGGUGAAAUUCGUAGAUAUUCGCAAGAACACCAGUGGCGAAGGCGGCCAACUGGUCCGAUACUGACGCUGAGGCGCGAAAGCGUGGGGAGCAAACAGGAUUAGAUACCCCUGUAGUC
rnacentral:rRNA from 1 species